rnacentral:rRNA from 1 species
GGAAACGACUGCUAAUACCGCAUAAUGUCUACGGACCAAAGGGGGCUUCGGCUCUCGCCUUUAGAUUGGCCCAAGUGGGAUUAGCUAGUUGGUGAGGUAAUGGCUCACCAAGGCGACGAUCCCUAGCUGGUUUGAGAGGAUGAUCAGCCACACUGGGACUGAGACACGGCCCAGACUCCUACGGGAGGCAGCAGUGGGGAAUAUUGCACAAUGGGCGCAAGCCUGAUGCAGCCAUGCCGCGUGUGUGAAGAAGGCCUUCGGGUUGUAAAGCACUUUCAGUCAGGAGGAAAGCGUGGUGGUUAAUACCCAUCAUGUGUGACGUUACUGACAGAAGAAGCACCGGCUAACUCCGUGCCAGCAGCCGCGGUAAUACGGAGGGUGCGAGCGUUUAAUCGGAAUUACUGGGCGUAAAGCGUACGCAGGCGGUUUGUUAAAGCGAGAUGUGAAAGCCCCGG